ACGGAAGGCAGCAGUGGGGGAUAUUGGACAAUGGGGGAAACCCUGAUCCAGCGAUGCCGCGUGAGGGAAGAAGGUUUUCGGAUUGUAAACCUCUGUGGACAGGGACGAUAAUGACGGUACCUGUUUAGAAAGCCACGGCUAACUACGUGCCAGCAGCCGCGGUAAUACGUAGGUGGCGAGCGUUGUCCGGAAUUACUGGGUGUAAAGGGAGUGUAGGCGGGAGAGCAAGUCAGAAGUGAAAAUUAUGGGCUUAACCCAUAACCUGCUUUUGAAACUGUUCUUCUUGAGUGAAGUAGAGGCAAGCGGAAUUCCUAGUGUAGCGGUGAAAUGCGUAGAUAUUAGGAGGAACACCAGUGGCGAAGGCGGCUUGCUGGGCUUUUACUGACGCUGAGGCUCGAAAGCGUGGGGAGCAAACAGGAUUAGAUACCCUGGUA
rnacentral:rRNA from 1 species